CCCAGCGGUUCCGGUGCUUACUA
rnacentral:miRNA from 1 species